GUGGCGGGCAUCCUCUCACCACUGGUCAGGCUCUUGCAAGCCUACCACUACAGCAUUCCCAUGGUUGUUUAUGGCAUCAUCCCGAUGGCUGCUGGUUGUUUCAGCCUGUUGCUCCCUGAAACACUCAAUGUUGAACUUCAAGACUACAUUGAACUGAAAAAAGCGACAAAAGCACCAGAGGGGAGCCAAUGCUGUGAUGAAGGAACGGAUGAGAAACUAUAAAUUUGAAUAUAAACUACAUUGUUGUAACAGAUCUAACUCAAAAAACAUUUUAGGAGGAACUGAUUAAAUAUGUUAAAUGUAGUGUGUUCUCAUUUUAAUGACUGUUUCAGGGGAGUUAGUGCACAGCAUUCUAGGCAACUUUAUCUUUUAAAAAUGUGUUCUAUAGUUUAUUAGUUCAUUUGAUUUUAAUUUAAUAAUUUUUUGAUCACAAAAAUCCCAACUUUUCCACAUUUGUACAUUUAAUAAACUUAGGAAACCAAUGCUAGGCUUCCCAAGACUUUCAAAAUUCCUUACCAUCGCAGUCUCCAUUUUUUUCAUUUUGAUAUAUCAAUAAAAAAUAAUCUUUGUGUUUUUUAUGGGUUGUCUAAAGUUUAAGCGAAAGUUGAAUGUGAUAUAAAAUAUUUUUUAUGGCUUAUUUGUUCUUGUUUUAGCAACUAGAGUAUUUUUGCUCAGCUAUAUGUCUAUAGUUUAUGAAUUCUGGACAAGAUCAUCUCACACUAAAUACAGAAGUACAGUUUAUGAUCUGUUCAUUAUGUUUAGUUUAAAGUUAUAUCUCCGCAUAGAUCCAGACUGGUUUGGGAGGCUUUAUUCUUAAUCAACAUUUAUUAAAUCAUCAUUUGUGUCUA